UACGUAGGGGGCAAGCGUUAUCCGGAUUUACUGGGUGUAAAGGGAGCGUAGGUGGCAUGGCAAGCCAGAAGUGAAAACCCGGGGCUUAACCCCGCGGAUUGCUUUUGGAACUGUCAGGCUGGAGUGCAGGAGGGGCAGGCGGAAUUCCAUGUGUAGCGGUGAAAUGCGUAGAUAUAUGGAGGAACACCGGUGGCGAAAGCGGCUCUCUGGCCUGUAACUGACACUGAGGCUCGAAAGCGUGGGGAUCAAACAGG
rnacentral:rRNA from 1 species